rnacentral:rRNA from 1 species
AACAAAAACAUCACUAGAAGAUAAAGACUUUUAGCAAUACCUGCCCAGUGCGAAAUAUUACUGUAAACGGCCGCCCUAGCGUGAGGGUGCUAAGGUAGCGAAAUUCCUUGCCUUUUGAUUGUAGGCCUGCAUGAAUGGUUUAACGAGGGUUUAACUGUCUCUAAAUUUUUUAUUGAAAUUGUACUGAAGGUGAAGAUACCUUCAUUAAAAAGUUAGACAAAAAGACCCCGUGCAACUUUGAAAAUUGACUUUAUUCAGGAGUAAAAGAUUUUUAGGUGGGGCGCCUAGAAAGUAAGCCUAACCUUUCUGAGUAACUAACUCUUUCCGGAUUUGACCCGAUUAUAUUCGAUCAUAGGAGAAGUUACGCCGGGGAUAACAGGCUAAUCCUUUAGUAGAGUUCGUAUUGGCUAAAGGGAUUGGCACCUCGAUGUUGAAUCAGGGAUGAUAGCUUCAAGGCGUAGAGGCUU